UGGUUCUGGCAUCGAUGAAGAACGCAGCGAAAUGCGAUAAGUAAUGUGAAUUGCAGAAUUCAGUGAAUCAUCGAAUCUUUGAACGCACAUUGCGCCCCGUGGUAUUCCGCGGGGCAUGCCUGUUCGAGCGUCAUUACCCACCUCCAGCUUGCUGGGUCUUGGGUCUCGCCUCCGGGCGGGCCUUAAAAUCAGUGGCGGCGCCACCCGGCUUUAAGCGUAGUACAUCAUCUCGCUACAAGGUCUGGGCGGUCCAGCUUGCCAUUUAAGCUUAAAUUAUCUUAGUAUUGACCUCGGAUCAGGUAGGGAUACCCGCUGA
rnacentral:misc_RNA from 1 species